rnacentral:rRNA from 1 species
UAAUAGCGUAUACUUAAGUUGUUGCAGUUAAAAAGCUCGUAGUCGGAUGUCGGGCUUGGGCAGGCUGCCGGCUUUUGUUGGACGGCAGGCUCGGGCCUUUCUGCCUGGGGACCGCGACACACUUCACUGUGGGGCGUCGGGACGCAGGCCGUUUACUUUGAAAAAAUUAGAGUGUUCAAAGCAGGCCUACGCUUGAAUACAUUAGCAUGGAAUAAUGGAAUAGGACUUUGGUGCCAUUCUGUUGGUUUAUGGAACCGAAGUAAUGAUUAAUAGGGACAGUUGGGGCCGUUUAUAUUUCGUUGUCAGAGGUGAAAUUCUUGGAUUUACGAAAGAUAAACUUCUGCGAAAGCAUUCGGCAAGGAUGUUUUCAUUGA